rnacentral:rRNA from 1 species
UCCAGACUCCUACGGGAGGCAGCAGUGGGGAAUAUUGGGCAAUGGGCGCAAGCCUGACCCAGCAACGCCGCGUGAAGGAAGAAGGCUUUCGGGUUGUAAACUUCUUUUGACAGGGAAGAGCAGAAGACGGUACCUGUCGAAUAAGCCACGGCUAACUACGUGCCAGCAGCCGCGGUAAUACGUAGGGGGCAAGCGUUAUCCGGAUUUACUGGGUGUAAAGGGAGCGUAGGCGGCCAUGCAAGUCAGAAGUGAAAACCCGGGGCUCAACCCUGGGAGUGCUUUUGAAACUGUGCGGCUAGAGUGUCGGAGGGGUAAGUGGAAUUCCUAGUGUAGCGGUGAAAUGCGUAGAUAUUAGGAGGAACACCAGUGGCGAAGGCGGCUUACUGGACGAUGACUGACGCUGAGGCUCGAAAGCGUGGGGAGCAAACAGGAUUAGAUACCCUUGUA